GGUAGGACAGACGAAGAAUUUGAAAAUUGAACCCUAACAACGGCUACUUCUCUACACCAUAAUACAUCACUAGUUCACUACCACUAACCAGACAAUCCACUCUCUCACUCUAAUUCAUCCAAAUUCUCCAUAAUUGUAAAAUUUCAAGCUCUGAUUUCUUCCAUGGCUUUGUCAACGCCCGAUUCAAAUCGCUUCAAACUACCCAUCGCUGGCCCAAGAAUCUCGCGCAGAGUACGAAUUGUUGGAAAAAUCCGAGGAUUUAUAGACCAAGAGUCUGAAAUAUCGGGUCGAGAUUUGAAACCGUGGGUCACUGUGUGCCGGCACAUAGAGAGCGAUUCGGAUCCCGGAAAAGUUACAAUCUCAUUCGGAGAUGAAGGGAGUAGUCGCAAAGAUAGAUAUGAAUUAGAUAAUUGCUAUGAACAAGACGAGGAUAAUGCUGUAGUAUUCUCGAGAGAGGUAAAGCCACUGAUAGCAGAAGUUCUCAACGGUCGAAAUGCAUCCAUUAUUGCAUAUGGGGCAAGAGGCAGUGGAAAAACCCACACAAUCCAGGGUUCUGUGGACAAAGAAGGUUUGGCAGCAAUGGCAAUAGCUGAGAUCCUUUCGCAAACAAAGGAUGCCCAGAAAGCAGUCCUCGUUUCUUUUUAUGAGGUGUUCCAGGAUCAUGUCUAUGAUCUUUUGGAUCCUAAUCAUCCCGAAGUUCAAGUGCUUGAAGAUUCUCAAGGAAAAAUAAAGCUUAAAGGACUUUCUAAGGCCGCUGUGGAUUCCAUUUCACACUUUCAUGAUCUAAGUGCUUGUUUGGCUGCACCAUGCUAUCCAGUACAAAAGACACCACUCCAAAUACCCAAAAGGAGUCACAAAGGGUUAAUGAUACAUAUAGCAUCUGCUGAUGACAUCCAGGGUAGUAAAUGUCUCAAUGUGAUGAACUUUGUGGAUUUGGCAGGCUAUGAGGAUUCCAGAAGAAGCAGCAAAGAUGGAGUUACGCUUACUGAAAGUGCUAGAAUAAACAAGUCUUUAUAUGGCAUUAUGAACGUGGUGUACGCUCUGAACACAAAUGAGAAGCGUGUUCCUUAUCGAGAAAGCAAACUCACUCGGAUGCUGCAGGAAUCUCUUGGUGGCUCCAGUCAUGUUUUGCUGCUAACCUGCUUGAAUCCAAGUCUUUGCCAAGAUACUCUUUAUGUAGCAAGUUUGGCUUCACGAUCAUGUCAAAGUGCCGGUCAGAUAUUGACAAGCUCUACAAUGAAAAGUAAAAAGCACACCAAUCAGCAAGCACGACUAGUGGGUACCCCGUUGUCUGGGAAAAAGAACAACUCUGCCUCCAAUUUGAUAGGAAGGAAACUAUUCAGUGACAGAAAAGCUAUCAUCUCUAAGCAGGAUGAUGUCACCUCAGCCACAAAGUUUAAGCCUCUUUCAGAGAAUGUUUCAACUAUCAUAUCUUCCUUCCAUAAAAAGACUUCUCAAGACAAGUCCAAUUCAGAUAGCUCUAGAGCCUUGAUAUCAUCAGCAGAAAAUGAAAUCCCAAGUGCUUUCAAGGAAACAAUCUCUAUUCAUAAAAUGGAAAAGGAUGCCUCUCCACCAAAUAAAGCAAAGGAUUUAAAAGUUACUCCCGAAGUUCAUUGUGAUGUCAAAGAAAUUCUUUCUUUUGCACAUGAUGGUGUUGUGGAUACGGAGAAGAAAAGUGGAGAUAUGAACAUAGACAAAGUAGCAUCACCACCACUAAGUGAAAGACUUAGAGAAAUAACGAAUAAUUUACGGUUGUUGGAGUCUUCAACUUCUUUGCAUAUGUUGAUGCCAAAGCAGUUGGACACAUCUCAAGGAAGCCUUGAAAGUUCUGGUGACAUUAUAGAACCCAAAACCCCAACAGCUGAAACUGAUAUGAGAACCGGUGACAAAUUGGAGAUUGCCAUGUAUACUAGUCCUUGGGAAAGAUUUCAUACGCGCAGUUCUGGAGUAAAGAAUUGUCUUGUCCAAGAAUAUCUGAAUUUGUUAAACACUGCAAGCAAAGAAGAGUUAACAAGGAUCCAGGGCAUCGGAGAAAAGAGAGCAACUUACAUUCUUGAACUACGUGAAGAAUCUUCAGAACCCUUUAAGAGUCUUGAAGAUUUGAAAGAAGUUGGUCUCUCGAAAAAGGAGAUAAAUGGCUUGAUGAGGAGAAUGGCUGGACAACUUUUCUGCUAGAAUGGCCUUAUAAGAAUUGUUUGAUGGCAACUAGAAGUUGCCAGCAGUUAUAUUAUGAUGAUUUUGAAUGUAACAUGUUUCUUUGCAAUUGUUCCAACCAAUGGAAAAACAUACUACUUUGUGAUAUGCUAUGCUUUUGUGGAAAUAUACAUAAUUAGUCUCAUGAGACUACUAUCCAAGAACAAGAAUUAUCCAACUGAAGCUGUUACCUUCACUACUGUUUUGUGUGAAAGUUAUCCCAAAAAGGCAUCGAUAAAUCAGCCCAUAGAGCAUCUGGCUCAGUCGUGAUCAUUUCUGUACAAUGGGCCAAAACAAGGGAAGAGAGAAGAAUUAACAAGCAGAAAUUCAUUGUACGGAUUUCGCUUUCGUGAGAGCACUUUUCUUCGAAUCUUGUCUGGGUUAGGUCCAAUUUUCUUCAAAAUUAUCUGGGUGAGUUUUGUUUUUACAAUAAUGUGUUUGAAUUUUCGUUGUUAUUGUUUUUUCGUUAGGUUUAAGUUUGAUUUCCGUACCGUUAGCGUUUAAAUAUUUGUGGUAUAUUAACUUUUACGAAUUUUUUUCUGUUCAUUAGUUCGUCUUAUUUCUGAUAAUUUUGUCACUCUGUUAUUAGUUUUAUGUUGUAAUGUUGUAAUCGUUGUGUAAUUUGUUUUGAUAAGUUUUUCAAAUAUUUUUCUAGUCUCUGU